UACGUAGGUGGCAAGCGUUGUCCGGAAUUAUUGGGCGUAAAGAGCUUGUAGGCGGUUUGUCGCGUCUGCUGUGAAAUUUCGGGGCUCAACCCCGAACUUGCAGUGGGUACGGGCAGACUAGAGUGUGGUAGGGGAGAUCGGAAUUCCUGGUGUAGCGGUGAAAUGCGCAGAUAUCAGGAGGAACACCGGUGGCGAAGGCGGAUCUCUGGGCCAUUACUGACGCUGAGGAGCGAAAGCGUGGGGAGCGAACAGG
rnacentral:rRNA from 1 species